rnacentral:rRNA from 1 species
UACGUAUGGGGCAAGCGUUGUCCGGAAUCAUUGGGCGUAAAGCGCGUGUAGGCGGCUCGGUAAGUCCGCUCUGAAAGUCGGGGGCUCAACCCUCGGAUGCGGGUGGAUACUGCCGGGCUAGAGUGCGGAAGAGGCGAGUGGAAUUCCUGGUGUAGCGGUGAAAUGCGCAGAUAUCAGGAGGAACACCGAUUGCGAAGGCAGCUCGCUGGGACGUUACUGACGCUGAGACGCGAAAGCGUGGGGAGCAAACAGG